CUCUUCCCUUGCAGGCGAAGUGAAUGCCCGAAUCAUUUUAAUUAGUCCUUCUGGGUUCCAGGCACAUCUGAGAUGAGCAUCAGCCAGAACUUGAGCCUUGAGCUGCGUUGCCAAAUGAUAAGCUCCUUCUGCUGACACGUGGACCACAUGAAGGGACUUUUCUCAGUGCCAGUCAGUUGUCCGGGAGUCUUGUGAUUUCUGCUCCUCUGCUGUGUCCUCAGCACCCAGAACAGCCCCUGGACCAGAGCACGUGGCCACUGAUUGUUUGUUGAGCAGACUGAUGACCUGACACCAUCAGGAAGAGAUGACUCUGCAGUCUACGAUCGGAGUGAGGCUUUUCCUACGCCAGCUGGACUGGAGGAGAUGGGGAAACAGAGGCACGAAGAGGCCAUGCAUGGAACUAUGGUGCAGUGUGAGUUUCUGCUGCUGGAACCUGAGACCAGGUUCGGCCAAUGCUCUCCUUCCAACCCUCAUGACCGUUGGCUCUUUUGACCAGAGUCUGCAGACCUCUCCAGCCCUCUGACGCAGGAUGGAGAGGUGACAUCCUUACAUCACAGCGGCCUUGACAGGCGUCCCCAGGAAAUGGAGCAAACCAACGUACUUACUCUUGUUUGGGCCUCGAGAUCGCACGGAGCAGCCGAGCCCAGGCAGUUGGGUGUGAAGCCCGCAGAGGGUGAGUACGUGGGGUUCAGUCCCUUGAUUCUGUAGCAGGUGCUGUUCAUAGCACCCAAGUCCUUUCCUGGAGCCCCUUUGUAUCUGUGACACAGGCCAUGUGCUAAGAGCUCCCACAUGCCAUACUUUGUCACAAUAUGGCACUUUCACGUUUCAUCACCAUGUGACACAUGUGUGACAUGGCCUUUGGUUUAGGUGACGCGGAGGCACCCUCUGGCUUGAGCAGGGGCUCCUGCUCACCGCCCCCCAGCUUUCCGCCCGGUGCCAUUCCUGCUGCCUGGGUAACCGGCUCACGUCCCAGGAGAAAGGACUGCCAGGAUCACUAAUGGGUGGUUAAGGACAGUGUCCCCGUGUAAGGGAUUUCACGGGCCUUGAAAACUAGUGAGUAAAUAACCAUUUAUCAGCCAGUCACUUAGAGGAUUGCCACAUGGAACCACGUCCCAGACUUCCAAACGCAUUGAAGCCACAUAUCAUCACGGAGCAUAAAAGUUAUGUGCGAAUGGGCUGUAAAAUGGAACAACUGUUUACCUCAGGGGAGGUUUUAUUUACACGCCCUCCGGCUGAGAGUGAAGGCCAGCCAUGGAGCCUGCCUUCAAGCAGAGCCUGUCCUCAGUGCAGCUGCCUCGGGUAAAUGCCAAUCUCGGGGUGACUUCUGGGGCCUGGGGAGGGUCUCCCCGGCUCCCUGCAAAGCUUGUUUUGCCUGCCUGGCGUUUGAAUUUUCUUGACACUAAAGCUUUAUCUGUAGUUACAGAACAUUCGAUUUGAUGAAUUCGACACCGGAUUUGGUAUGAAACACACGGAUAGCUAGCAUUCUUUACAGAGUACUGGGAUACGCGUGAUCUUCUUUACCCUCACACACUCCAGUAAGUGGAGUCCUCGCCCCCGAUGACGAGGAGGGGCCCGUGGCCUGGAGAAGCGAAAUGACUUGUAGGACGGCAUGUGCAGGUCAUGGCAGAGCUGGGGCUGGAAUCUGUGGCUUCUGAGGAUUCCCUCCCCUUUGGUGAUCUUUCCAGUAGGGCAGGCUCUUGAAUUAAACAGACCCUGCAGGCCGAAGUCCCUGACAUCCAUUUACACCAGGCUGAGAGCCAGUUUGGAGGGGUGGGGCUGUGAAUGGAAGAGUCAGGUCUGCAGGCCCCGAGUGCCCUCCUCUGCCACGCUCCCUGUGAGUCCUCUCUCCCCGGAAGCUAGGGCUCAUUCUUUUUCCUUCUGUGCUCAGUGGGGGGUUUAUUCCUUUGGACAGAUCUGCCAGAACUGGAUGCUGAUAGUGUUUUUUCCCCUCUGACUCCUGUGAUUGCAGGAAGCUGCCAGUUGUUCAUGAUCGCUUCCUGAAACACAUUUUAUUGAGCACCUACUACCUAGGAGGCAUGAUGCAGAGUUGAUUCCCCUCGGCUCCCGUUGCCUUAAUGAAACAUGAGUUUGUCACGUGUCUUAACGAACUCUACUUUGUGUUACUGUCGACUAGCUCACAAGAUGCUGUGAAGCUGGUCUUUGUUCUCUACAUUUCUCGUCCACAGUCAGCCAUCGGAACUAACAGCUUGGUGGGGGUGCUGAAGAGGCUGGAGGUGAGGGUGCCUGAAGGUUGGGGGGCAGAACACAGAAUGUUGAGUUCUGGGAG